GAUUGAACGCUGGCGGCAUGCCUUACACAUGCAAGUCGAACGGUAACGCGGGGGCAACCCUGGCGACGAGUGGCGAACGGGUGAGUAAUACAUCGGAACGUACCCAGUAGUGGGGGAUAGCUCGGCGAAAGCCGGAUUAAUACCGCAUACGACCUAUGGGUGAAAGCGGGGGAUCGCAAGACCUCGCGCUAUUGGAGCGGCCGAUGUCGGAUUAGCUAGUUGGUGAGGUAAAGGCUCACCAAGGCUACGAUCCGUAGCUGGUCUGAGAGGACGACCAGCCACACUGGGACUGAGACACGGCCCAGACUACUACGGGAGGCAGCAGUGGGGAAUUUUGGACAAUGGGCGCAAGCCUGAUCCAGCCAUGCCGCGUGUGUGAAGAAGGCCUUUGGG
rnacentral:rRNA from 1 species